GGACAGUGGGAGAGGGGACAGCAGCAGAGCCAGGCCGGGCCACCAGCAGAAACUGGAACCAGACCAGCCUGCCCAGGUGAGGCUGGCGCGGGGGUGCAGGGGAGGGUCUGCAUGCAGGCGCUGGAGCCACAGGGGGACGCCCAUGCCAGCAGGAGCCCAGGCAGGAGGCUGGCCCCUUCGCCCACCCCAGCAGCACCAUCUCUCCUUGGUUGGACUUGGCAGGAAGCCAAGCGUAGGGCAGAGAGCAGGGUGAGCAGAGGAUGGGCUCCCGGGCACAAGAGCAGGAACUCCGGGCUAGGUCCACACUCCACCCCCACACCAGCCCUUGAACCAACCAUCUGCUCCCCAACCUUUGACGCCCACCCUGUCCCGGCCAGGCUGGCUCCUGCCUGUCUCUGGUCUCUCCGCGGCUGGCAUCCAGGCUCUCACGGGGCCUGUCUCCCCUCUCCUGGACAGCACGAGUGACCAGGCCCUGGCGGAUCUGUGACUCCAGGCAUCCCUGGUUUGGCGGC
rnacentral:lncRNA from 1 species